rnacentral:rRNA from 2 species
AAAUUGAAGAGUUUGAUCAUGGCUCAGAUUGAACGCUGGCGGCAGGCCUAACACAUGCAAGUCGAACGGUAACAGGAAGCAGCUUGCUGCUUUGCUGACGAGUGGCGGACGGGUGAGUAAUGUCUGGGAAACUGCCUGAUGGAGGGGGAUAACUACUGGAAACGGUGGCUAAUACCGCAUAACGUCGCAAGACCAAAGAGGGGGACCUUCGGACCUCUUGCCAUCAGAUGUGCCCAGAUGGGAUUAGCUUGUUGGUGAGGUAACGGCUCACCAAGGCGACGAUCCCUAGCUGGUCUGAGAGGAUGACCAGCCACACUGGAACUGAGACACGGUCCAGACUCCUACGGGAGGCAGCAGUGGGGAAUAUUGCACAAUGGGCGCAAGCCUGAUGCAGCCAUGCCGCGUGUAUGAAGAAGGCCUUCGGGUUGUAAAGUACUUUCAGCGGGGAGGAAGGGAGUAAGGUUAAUAACCUUAUU